AUGUAUUUUAACUUGACCUCAUUUUAAAGAAGAGUGACAAGACCAGAAAACCUGUGACAUUGGCUGUCCUGAUUUACAAUAUCGGGAGCGCCACACACCUCUUUCCAGUGACCUUAUGACCCCCGCAUGCUCUCACAAUCCAUCUACUGACUUCAUAGGAAAAGUAACCAGAGACAUGAAUGUCACUGCCGAGGUAAGUAAACCUCUUGACAAGGUUGACACUCUCUUCACAGACAGACGCACUGUGCCCAAGAGGUCAUUAAAGGCCUGGAUGUUGGUUUUUAUCCAGGACACUCGCAAGCCCAGACACAGACUCCUCAAGAGCCCCGAUUAGUGCCUACAUUGACCUUUAAUUUGAGAUUCCUUAGCAAAAAAAGUCCCAAAAAUAACUCAAAAUGUCCACUAGAGGGGACAAACCAUAUAUCCCUGGCUAGUCAUGAUAGGGCAAACACAGAUUUUUACAAUAAAUGAUUUGUUUUUAACAACAAUCCUAUGUGAUAAAAAUAAGCUCUGAGGAGCACCAAAGUGAAAGGAGUUGCCUGAAACAACAAGGCAGUCCAAGGUAAACAAGUCCCAAACAUACAGAUCCAGAAGGUAGAGUAUUAGGUCAAAAAUCCAGUAAAUCCAGAUGAAAACACAAUAUAAUCACAAGAGAAACUCAUCGACUCCAGGGAAUUCAAUGAACCGCAAGGGACUGCUUGUAUUCUUAGUCUUUAUAGGGUUGUAGGCUGCCCCUUGACAGUGAAAGGCCUUUUGGGGAACCACCCACAAAACACAAGGAACAGAACAGAAAAUACAUAGAUACACACAAACUAAAUGAUCAACAAUACUGACGAAGAAUACAUAAUUAUAAAAACAAUAAACAUGAACAACAAAAUUAACAUGAAGAAAAAAAUGAACAGAAAAGGCUUGAAAAAGGAAUUUGAACUCCAAAUAGAGCAGGACCCCUGGUGUGGGCCACUCUACCAUUUAACUCAGGUGGCACAAUCGGGGCAGGACACAUUUUCUUAAACAUUACAGACCCUGACCAACAAACAUUCAGAUUCAAUACGAUACUAAGGGGGAACUGAAAUUUCAAAGUAAUAUUUAUUAAUAUAACAUCAAGGGGGACGGGCGGCACGGUGGCGCAGUGGGUAGCGCUGCUGCCUCGCAGUUGGGAGACCUGGGGACCUGGGUUCGCUUCCCGGGUCCUCCCUGCGUGGAGUUUGCAUGUUCUCCCUGUGUCUGCGUGGGUUUCCUCCGGGUGCUCCGGUUUCCUCCCACAGUCCAAAGACAUGCAGGUUAGGUGGAUUGGCGAUUCUAAAUUGGCCCUAGUGUGUGCUUGGUGUGUGGGUGUGUUUGUGUGUGUCCUGCGGUGGGUUGGCACCCUGCCCAGGAUUAGUUCCCUGCCUUGUGCCCUGUGUUGGCUGGGAUUGGCUCCAGCAGACCCCCGUGACCCUGUGUUUGGAUUCAGCGGGUUGGAUAAUGGAUGGAUGGAUGGAUCAAGGGGGACUAAGAACCACACCAACAAUAUUCAAUUAAAAUUAUUUGUAUCUGGGCAUCUUUGAUUUCUUCUGGUGUCCUACUGCCAUGCCUUAAUUUUUUUAAUACGUUAAAAGUCACAAAUUUCAAGAAGACACAAUUUACAUUUCAUUCUUUUGUUCUGUGCUUUGAAGCUAAAUACAGAUUUUUUUUCAGAAUGAUAGAUUGAGAAGGUGUGGGGGAGGGGGACUAACAGGAGAAACAGGACAUUAAGGUGGUUCUGCAAUCUGCGUUGGUAGAGGUACAGAUAAAGUACUCAGAGAGCACUUAGAGAGAACUUCAGACACAUCCCUCAGCUAAAUGGAGUCCAUUGGCCAUAAUGCAUAGCUGUCAGUGAGUCUCGUACCCCCUGAGUCAUUACAAUAUGAACUAAGCUGUGAAAGGGAUAUAUAGCUGAUCUAGAAAAGUUCCUUGCAACAUGGAUUGAGGACCAGAAGAAGAAGCACCUUAAGCACCAUGACAAUAACAGCAAGGCCACUAAAUUUGUUUAAAAUGCCUACAGAAAAAGCAGGACAUGAACAUGAAUACAUUUGACCUCUCCCCUCUAAUUAUUGAGAUAUGAACAUAUUGAUUGCAUCAACAGUGCCGGAACGUAAACCAGUAAUAACAUAAUGGAUACCUGUUUAUAAGUUAUAAUAUUCACAUUUAGUUUAUCAAAAGACCUUAUUGUGAUUGUGGUAUAGCAUUGACCAGUUGUAUACAUGAACCUUUGAUAGUUUGUCAUUUAAGGAAUACUCCCACCAAAAGUGAUUCAUUUCAUAUGUUACCAAAUCUACUGUACUGUAGUUUGUACUGAUGGUCAAAACAAAAUUGUAAUAUUGGUUUUUUAUACAGAAUGGAGAUUAAAAAUAUUAUGAUGUAAUUAAAAGCCAAUGGUGACCAAUGCUAUAUGAUGAUGGCAAACAAAAUGUAAAAUGCCAUGGAAAACAAAAACUCGUGUUACUCAUGUCACAUAAUCCACAUGUCUGUUCUGUUAUUCAGCUAAAAACAUUCAAAACACAUCUAUUUUUUGCUGUAAUACUGCCAAAUAGACACUUCAGGGAAAAAUCAGCACACACCAAUAAACAGGAAACACAAGUCACAUGGUAUUGGCUUUUUGAAGUGAAGAUCCGCCUCUCCCUCUUAUUCAUUGGUUAAGAAUCUAGGUUUAAUGCAAUGAUCCAUAAAUUGGUGUUUUAAAGAAAAGGUCAUUUCUGUGUAUUGCGUUUAGGAAAAACAGAUGUAAAUAAUAAAUGUAAUGUGAAAACCAAAAGAUGAAGGGGCAAUAGGCACCCUUUGUUUGAGACUGGGGUAAGUGAAAAGGCAAAUUUCCUGAAUAAUUCUAUAACAGAUUAAUUAUUGAUGGCUAUAUACAGGACAUAGAUAUUUACCUGUCUUGCAAAAGAGUCACCUGCUUUGAAGAUCAGACUGCUUUGAUUGGUAUCUCAUCCACAUACAGUAUUGUGAUACAGGACUGCCUGCUUCCUUUGAAAAUUAAUGAGUUCUGGAGACAUUGGUUUCUAAUCAGCAUACAGUGGUAUAUGUACUUCUUGAUAGCUAACUACAAUGCUAUUGUUUAAUCAAAGAAAAUGUGUUUUCACUAUUGUCCAGCCAAAGAAAUUUCUAUGUACCAUUGUUUCACUGAUCAUCAUGUUAAUCUAGACAGAGAUUGACGAAGUUAUAUACUGUACCUCUGGGUAAAUAAGAAUAAAAAAAGAAGAGCAUGUUUAGAGACUCCUUACUGCUUCCUUGAUGCUUUUGGCAUCAUAGCGCUGUGGCUAACCCCUGUAGCAACAGUGGCUUAUACCUGGCCCAGGGCUGAGGCCGGUAACAUUAAGUAACAUAUGGAAAAAAAUCCCAACAUUUUUAGGUGGAGUAUUCCUUUAAGUGUAAUGAUCCUCACUUCUGUCUCACUGAAACUUUUCUUUUCAUCCUUAAUGUAAUCUCUGCUACUCAUUCUGAAAUGCUCUGUCAUAAAUUACAUUAUUUUAUAGACUGAUCUAAACAGUGACAACAUAUUAUGAACGGCAAGGAUUAAGUCAAGACUUUACCCCUAAGACAUACUAAAGUUUUUACACUAGAUUUACAUAGCUUUAUAGUGAGAAGUCAAGCAAAAUGACAGCUUUUAUUGACUAACUAAAAAGGUUACAAUAUGCCAGCUUUCAAGGCAACUCAGGCCCCUUCUUCAGGUAAGAUGUAAUCAACAGGGGUCAGAGGGGCCUGAGUUUCCAUGAAAGCUUGUAUAUUGUAAUCUUUUUAGUUAGCCAAUUAAAGGUGUCAUUUUGCUUGACUUCUCACUACAUUCAUAAUGGCUAACAUGGUACAACAACACCCUAGUACUACAGUCAUAGCUUUAUAUAUAGAUUUUGAUUAUAUAUAUAGCAUCUUAACAGGAAGGGCAAAAAAAAAAAACACAAGCACAUUAUCCUGAAAUUGAAAGAAAGGAAAACGUUUUAAAAAAAGUUUUUGUUUUGCUAGAAGUCUUCCUUUUUGAAAGAAGCUGAGAUGAACUCUGUAUUCCAGCAAGGUAACAUCACACGCCAGCAUGUGCGUAUAGAGGCCAUGCAAACUGCAAUAGCAACAAAGACAGUGACGUCCUAGGUGCACAGCACUUUGUGAGCAAAAUAUAAACAAAGCUCCUAAACAGAAGCUAAACAUAACAGGAUGUAAAUGAUGCUGUCAGGUUAGCAAACCUGACACCAAAAAAGGGUAGAAAACCCAGUGCUGGUACCUUUUGUACCAUAUUUUCCUUCUCCUCUUUUCUUCUGGAUAAUCCUGUACUACAGGGUAAAAUAAUACCUCAGCCCCACGUAAACUAAACAUUCCUGUCCCGUCUUUAUACAUUCUUAUAUUGUCCAACCUGCUUUAUUAAAUUCAAGGUUUUGGAGACUAGAUCCUAAUCCAUUACAAGGCACACUCUUUCACAUGGUGGCAGUUUAGAAUUUCUAAAUAAACCUAAAACACAUGUCUUUUGAUUGGACUAACAUUAUUACAGCUCACACAGACAUAGGGGAGAAUGCACAUCAGCACUGCUAACUAGCAUACAGUUCUUGUCCUUAUUUUCCAAAAUCCAAAAUGUUGCUGCAAGAAUUAUUACAAGAACAAGAAAAUUCGAACACACAGCUCCAGGUCUUAAAUCCUUACACUGGCUCACAGUUAAGUUUAGGCCAGAUUUCAAAAUCCUCAUUUUAACAUAUAACAACAACAACAACAUUUAUUUAUAUAGCACAUUUUCAUACAAAAAGUAGCUCAAAGUGCUUUACAUAAUGAAGAAAAGAAAGAUAAAAGACAAAAUAAGAAAUUAAAAUAAGACAACAUUAGUUAACAUAGAAAGGAGUAAGGUCCGAUGGCCAGGGUGGACAGAAAAAACAAAAAAAAAACUCCAGAAAGCUGGAGAAAAAAAUAAAAUCUGUGGGGGUUCCAGGCCACGAGACCACCCAGUCCCCUCUGGGCAUUCUACCUAACAUAAAUGAAAUAGUCCUCUUUGUAGUUAGGGUUCACAUGGAGUCACUUGAUGCUGAUGAUCAUACAGACUUCUGGCUUUUAAUCCAUCCAUCAUUUUUGGAACAUCAUGGUACUUAGAGUAGAUGGUGACCACCAAAUGGACACCGGAAAAGGAAACAGAAGAGAGAAUAGGGGUUAGUACAGAUUUUAGAGCCACCAUGAAUGGUUAUUAUAAUGAAUUGGAUAUACAGAGUAUCAGGAUUAAAUUACAGUGACGUUAUGAGAAGGCCAUGUUAAAGUAAUGUGUUUUCAGCAGUUUUUUAAAGUGCUCCACUGUAUUAGCCUGGCGAAUUCCUACUGGCAGGCUAUUCCAGAUUUUAGGUGCAUAACAGCAGAAGCCUUAAAUGACCAAUAUAAAGCCUUAAAUGACCAAGGUCCAGAUUACUUGUCUGAAUUUAUCAUGACUUACAAACUAGAACGUACAUUAAGAUCUCAAGAUGCCAGUCUGCUUAUGAUUCCAAGGAUUAAUAAAAUAACAGUGGGAGGUCGCGCUUUUACUUACAGGGCCCCUAAACUGUGUGCCUGCUACUAUAAGAGAUGCCCCUUCGGUCUCAGUUUUUAAAUCCUGGCUGAAGACUCACUACUUCAGUUUAGCACACCCUGACUAGAGCUGCUGCUUAACUGUACAGAAUGCAUCUCUGUUGUUGGUCAUUAGCACUAAAACAUAAGUAAUAUGAUAGUUAUAAUUUGUUACUAACACUCACCUAUUCUGUUUCUCUUCUCGGUUCUCAAAUGUGGCAUUUGGUGCCACGGCCCACCUGCCAAGUUGUUCACCCUGCCUAAGGUAAAGUCAUCUCUAAUGGAGGAUCGCAGGAAUCAUUGGGGAGAGGGGUCCUUUCAUCAUUUUGGCUGGCCAAGCGCUGUCUCAGUUGUGGAAUGGCCAAUAGGGGGAGGCAGUUUGAAGGUUGAGGUCUCCAGGACUCUGAACAAAUCCAAAUUGUAUUAUGUGAUAUCAUCUACUGUUAAAUUCUCCUCUGUACUUGUCAUAUUUUUAUUUUACUAUUAUAUUGUAUUGAGGAUUACUUGUGUUUUGUUCUGUGUAUUGUAUUGUAUUGAUCCUCCUUCUUUUUGACACCCACUGCACACCCAACCUACCUGGAAAGGGGUCCUUUCCAAGGUUUCUUCCAUUUUUCCCCUACAAGGGUUUUAUUUUUUGCAAGUUUUUUCUUGUCUUCUUAGAGAGUCAAGGCUGGGGGGCUGUCAAGAGGCAGGACCUGUUUAAGCCCAUUGCCGCACUUCUUGUGUGAUUUUGGGCUAUACAAAAAUAAAUUGUAUUGUAUUGUAUGGUAUUUUCCAUUUACUUUAAAGAAAUAACACUAAAAACUGUAAAGUGUAAGUGGGACAGUUGAUACUACAAUGUGUAAGAAGUAUAUUGCAUGUGCAGUGUAUAAACAAUGCCAAAUAAAAGCAAAAUGAAGGUC